UACGUAGGGUGCGAGCGUUAAUCGGAAUUACUGGGCGUAAAGCGUGCGCAGGCGGUUCGUUGUGUCGGCGGUGAAAUCCCCGGGCUCAACCUGGGAAUGGCCGUUGAAACUGGCGAACUGGAGUGUGGCAGAGGGGGGUGGAAUUCCGCGUGGUAGCAGUGAAAUGCGUAGAGAUGCGGAGGAACACCGAUGGCGAAGGCAGCCCCCUGGGCUGACACUGACGCCUCAGGCACGAAAGCGUGGGGAGCGAACAGG
rnacentral:rRNA from 1 species